rnacentral:rRNA from 1 species
GCGGCAUGCCUUACACAUGCAAGUCGAACGGUAGAGUAGUAAUACUCGAGAGUGGCGAACGGGUGAGUAAUAUAUCGGAACGUGCCCAGUCGUGGGGGAUAACGUAGAGAAAUUUACGCUAAUACCGCAUACGAUCUACGGAUGAAAGCGGGGGACUCGCAAGAGCCUCGCGCGAUUGGAGCGGCUGAUAUCAGAUUAGGUUGUUGGUGAGGUAAAAGCUCACCAAGCCGACGAUCUGUAGCUGGUUUGAGAGAACGACCAGCCACACUGCGACUGAGACACGGCCCAGACUCCUACGGGAGGCAGCAGUGGGGAAUUUUGGACAAUGGGCGAAAGCCUGAUCCUGCACUGCCGCGUGUGGGAGGAAG